GAUGAACGCUAGCGGCAGGCCUAAUACAUGCAAGUCGAACGGUAACAUGAGUAGCAAUACUUGAUGACGAGUGGCGCACGGGUGCGUAACGCGUAUGCAAUCUACCUUUUACUGGUGAAUAGCCCGAAGAAAUUCGGAUUAAUACACCAUAGUAUAUUGAGGAGGCAUCUCCUUAAUAUUAAAACUCCGGUGGUAAAAGAUGAGCAUGCGUGACAUUAGCUAGUUGGUGAGGUAACGGCUCACCAAGGCAACGAUGUCUAGGGGAUCUGAGAGGAUUAACCCCCACACUGGUACUGAGACACGGACCAGACUCCUACGGGAGGCAGCAGUAAGGAAUAUUGGACAAUGGUCGCAAGACUGAUCCAGCCAUGCCGCGUGAAGGAUGAAGGCCCUAUGGGUUGUAAACUUCUUUUGUAUGGGAAAAAACCCCUCUACGUGUAGAGGGCUGAUUGUACCAUAAGAAUAAGGAUCGGCUAACUCCGUGCCAGCAGCCGCUGUAAUAC
rnacentral:rRNA from 1 species